rnacentral:rRNA from 1 species
UACAGAGGUCCCAAGCGUUGUUCGGAUUCAUUGGGCGUAAAGGGUGCGUAGGCGGCGCGGUAAGUCGGGUGUGAAAUCUCGGAGCUUAACUCCGAAACUGCAUUCGAUACUGCCGUGCUUGAGGACUGGAGAGGAGACUGGAAUUUACGGUGUAGCGGUGAAAUGCGUAGAUAUCGUAAGGAAGACCAGUGGCGAAGGCGGGUCUCUGGACAGGUUCCUGACGCUGAGGCACGAAGGCCAGGGGAGCAAACGGGG